CUGGGCCGAGGCCGCGCAGUAAAUGGCGACGCUGGCGGGAAAGUUGAGUGGCUGUUGCGCCGAGCCUCCGGGGCGAUGUGUAGUGAUUUCCAUAGGUCUGAGUCUGGGACGGAGGUGAGAGCUGCCGAGCUCCUUGCCCGACUGGAAGGUAGAAGUUCCUUGAAAGAAAUAGAACCACAUCUGUUUGCUGAUGAAGAUUCACCUGUGCAUGGUGAUAUUCUUGAAUUUCAUGGCCCAGAAGGAACAGGAAAAACAGAAAUGCUUUAUCAUUUAACAGCACGAUGUAUACUUCCAAAAUCGGAAGGCGGACUGGAAGUAGAAGUCUUGUUUAUUGACACAGAUUACCACUUUGAUAUACUUCGGCUUGUUACAAUUCUUGAGCACAGACUAUCGGAAAGUUCUGAAGAAAUAAUCAAACGCUGCCUUGGGAGGUUUUUUCUGGUGCACUGCAGCAGUAGCACCCAGUUACUCCUCACACUGUACUCGCUAGAAACCAUGUUCUGUAGCCACCCCUCCCUCUGCCUUUUGAUUUUAGAUAGCCUGUCAGCUUUUUAUUGGAUAGACCGUGUCAGUGGAGGAGAAAGUGUUCACUUACAGGAGUCCACUCUGAAGAAAUGUUCCCAACUCUUAGAGAAGCUGGUAAAUGAGUAUCGGUUGGCUCUUUUUGCAACAACACAAAGUAUAAUGCAGAAAACCUCAGGCUCAGCAGAAGGGCCUUCUUGUGCCUUUAAUCGCCAGAGUGAUGUGGAUGUAGACUAUAGACCCUAUCUGUGUAAGGCGUGGCAACAAGUGGUAAAGCACAGAAUCUUUUUCUCCAAACAAGAUGAUUCCAAAACGAGCAACCAGUUUUCUUUAGUUUCACGUCAUUUAAAAAGUAACAACUUAAAAAAGCAUUUUUUUAUUAUUGGAGAAAGUGGUGUUGAGUUUUGUUGAUAUGUAUCAUAAGAUAGUCUUUUUGUAGGAUAUUAUGCAAAUUUUAAAACAUCUUUAAUAGGCCAAAAGGGUUUGAUUCUAAAGUUCUUAAACUCUAAGGGAACUUGACAUAACCGUGUUUCUAUACAGAAUGGAUUUCUUAAACUAGUACAGUAGAACCUUAGACUCUUCUUCCCUAGGUUGUUGAAGAUUAUUCAAAGUGAUAAUAACAAUUAAGCUAUAUUAAGUUGUUUUAAGACUAAGUAAAUAAGAUAUACAUUUCAGUCCAAAUAAAGUGGAAUAUUCUAACUUUGUGUCACAUUUCUGGAAUUCAGUUAAAUACUUGUUUAGGAAAGUUGAAAUGCAUUUCUGAUUUUUCAUAUGUAACUCCUUUAAGAAGCUGUAAAUUUGGAAAAUGUUUCUGUAGAGCUGUUAUUUCUGUAAAGAGGAUGAAAACAAGGAGCCUACCCAAUCUGCCUUUCACACCAAAGACGAUGGAAAGUCAGAGCACUUUGAUCUGUUUUACUGAAUUCAAAGAUGGAGCUGCAUUAUGCUUGAGCUUCUGUAUAAUUUUUAAAACACAGGGAAAUAAGAUACCCAUUCAAGGAGUUCUGUGAAUAUUGAAAUUUUCAUCUUUCUUGUUAAGUGAUAGAUAAAUGCUAAAACUAUAUAGUAACUGUAUGUUACUUGUGUUUUCUUACCCAUUUAGAAUACUUCAGACAUACUCUGAAAUGAAUUGAAAUGUUUCCAGCUGAGAGCUGGACAAGGCUGUAUAUACUUUGGCCCAGUAAUGACCAGAAAGGGGAGCAUGCACCUCCAGGGGCACACAAGAAAACUUUGAUGCAGACUACUCUUCUGUAUGGAUUAUCUAAGAAUGAGGAUGAAACAGACAUUUUCAGAUGAACAGAAACUGAGAAUUUACCACCAAAAUUGCCUCACUAAAGGAACUUCUGAAAGAUGGACUUCAAGGAGAAGAAUAUGAUCCCAAAGCCUGAAAUGUAAGAAGUAAUAGUGAGUAGAGAAAAUAGUAAGCACUUGGAGAAAUCUAAAGAAAUAUUGAUGGUGUAAAACCACAUCCAAUUUAUGGGAGGAAGAAACGAUAUAAAGUAGCAAUUCUAGGCAUCCCAUUGCCUAUAAGCCUAGUACAUAGAAGGUAGGUAAUUGAAAUUAUAUCAAUCUAAAUAGCUUGUAUUAUUCUGAAGGAGAGUAAAGAUAUGGACCAAGGUUAGACUUAAGUAUUAACUUGACAAUUUGAAGAGCUGCUUCUAAAAGAAACAAAUUAAUAUAUGCUCCAGUAGUAUAUGUUGAGGCAAAAGGGAAAAGAGAAAAAGAAAAAAUGAACAAACACAGAAAAAGUGGAUAGGACAAAUGAGCACUAAAUAAUGCGGUAGAGAUAAAUCCAGUUAUAAAUGUGUUGAACUCUUCUGUGAAAAAUCUUGGGUAAUUAGGCUAGAGUUUUAACAAUCUGCUAUAUGCUUUUUAAGGAAAUACAUCUAAAACCAAGAUACAGAAAUGUUGAGAGCCUAAAGAUUAAAAAGACUAGAAAAGUAUCAAAGGAAGCUCCUGGAGCUGUAUAAAUAGACUUUAACUGUGGUAAUAUUUUCUGUCUUAACUGGUUAAUGAUAAAAGGUUUAGUUUAUAUGUCCUUUGUAAGAUAACUUCAAAAAUAUAAAGCAAAAAUUUAGAGACUACAAGGAGAAAUUGACAGUCACCAUCAUGGUAGACAUUUUAAUAUACCUGGGAGACCAAGCAGUUAAAAAAUCAGUUAAAGAGAGAGAAUCUAAGCACAAGCUCAAACUUGAUGUAAUAAACGUAUGUAGAACUCUGCAGACAAAAUGAGAAUGCAUAUCUUGAACACAAAAGGAAAAUUUAUGAAAACUGAUCAUGUGCUAUGAGAAGACAUCAAAUUUCAGAGAGUCAGUAUCAUGGAGAUCAUUUUUCUUCAUUAUAAUGCACUUGUCAGAAGUCGACAACAAAAAGGAUAACUAGAAAGUUUCCAAAUUUAGAAAAAAGUUUAAAUUUCUAAAUAAUCAAUAGGUCACAUAAGAAAUCAUAUUCACAAUUAGAAAAUACUAACAUACAAAUUGUUAGAAAAAGAAUAAACACAAAGGACACAGGAGAAAAACUGAGUAGAAAUUACUGUAAUAGAUGACACAAGAGAAGCAACAAAGUCAAAUGACUGCCAAGAGCAAGGGCUCAGACAGUUUUCAGAGCGAACAGGAAGGCAUGACUGUAAAUAGAGCGGAGACUUUAUAUCAGUAACAACCGGUAUCAGUAAAUCUGAAAACUGAGGCAGUGGACACAUCAAAACAAUCUCAAAAAAAGUCCCUGAAAAAUACUGUAAUCAUUACAAGACUUGAAUCAGUAAUUUGAACUCUCCCCACAGUCAUUUAGGGGGACUUCCAGUAAUAGCAGAAUAUGUCGCUACCAAAACAGAUCCUCUCUGGAGGAUGACAAUAUCAUUCAUAGGCCUCAAGUUAUUUUUAAAAGUGAAUUCUUAAAUGCAGUGUCCAAAAUACAAUCUAAGGUAUUACGACACACAAAAAGACAGGUCUCUAUGGGUGAGAAACUGCAGAAAGAAAUGACCACUCCCGCCCCCACAGACAUGAAUGUAUAUAUCAACACAUCCACAACUCAUGCAGACUAAGAAUACAUGGGAGGAACGCCAUGAGUCAGGAGUCAGGUAAAUGGAAUGGGUGUUCUAAGGUCCUUACAUUGUCUGGGAGAAGGAAAGGUAUCAACGUUAGACACUGAUAAAGAGAUUGCGUCUUAUGGUUUCUAGAAUAACCACUCAAGAAUAGAAAAAAAGGGUUAUAAUUUUUCACAUUAAAGGAAUGGACAAAAAUCCUCCAUUAAAUGCGAACUAAGAGAAGGCUGGUAUAUGUACAGUAAUACCAGACAAAAGAUACUAAGGUAAGGAUAGAAGGUAUCUUUACUAGAGGUAAAGAAAAAGUGGAGUUGAUAAAACUUUCAAUUCACCAGGAUAAUACAGACAUACAAGGGGAAUAGAGACAUUGAGAAUUAUGUUUGGAGAUUUUAACACCCGAGUAAUUGGUAAACAGUAAACAAAACAAAAUCAGUAAGGAUACUAAAAAUAGAACAGGAUGGUCCACAAACACCACACCACUCAUCAAGUGCAGAAUACAUUAUUUUUCAGCAUGCUUAUAACACUUUUUAGGGACCAUAUAGUGGGCCAUAAAGCUGUGUCAACAAAAUUCAAAGGAUUGAAAUCACAGAGUAAGUUCUCCAGUGCUGAUACAAUUACACCAGAAAUCAGUAACGAAGAGAUCAUAGAGAAUCUGCAUAUAUUUCAAAAGUAAGGAAUAAACUUCGAAAUAAAAUAGAUUGGAGAUAUCACAAUAGAAAAUAUAAAAUAUUUAAUUCACUAAUGAAAUUUAUAUCAAAUAUGAGGAGUAUUGUUAAAACAAUACUUAGGGGGAAAUUUAUAGCCUUAAACCCUUUUGUUAGAUCAGAUGAAAGGCUAAAAAAGGAGCUAAAUAAGCAUUUCCUUAAAGAAGAAAAUGAAUAGUAAAUUAAAUCCCCUUCCCCAAAUAAAAGAAAUGUAAUAACAAAAGCAGAGAUAAAUAAAAUGGGAAAAAUGUAAUAAGGGAUCAAUAAAGCCAAUACAGAGGAGGCAAGAAUAUACAAUGGGGAAAAGACAGCCUCUUCAAUAAAUGGUAUUGGGAAAACUG